rnacentral:rRNA from 1 species
AGGACGAACGCUGGCGGCGUGCUUAACACAUGCAAGUCGAACGAGGUUCAAUCAGUCGCAAGACUGAGGAAGAUCUAGUGGCGAACGGGUGCGUAACACGUGAGGAACCUAUCCCAGUCUCUGGAAUAACAGGUGGAAACACCUGCUAAUGCCGGAUGCCGUUGAACCAUCGCAUGGUGGACCAACGAAAGAUUUAUCGGAUUGGGGAGGGCCUCGCGGCCUAUCAGCUUGUUGGUGAGGUAACGGCUCACCAAGGCGUCGACGGGUAGCUGGUCUGAGAGGAUGAUCAGCCACACUGGGACUGAGACACGGCCCAGACUCCUACGGGAGGCAGCAGUGGGGAAUCUUGCACAAUGGGCGAAAGCCUGAUGCAGCGACGCCGCGUGCGGAAGAGGCCCUAGGUUGUAACCGCUUUCAGCAGGAAGAAAUGACGUACUGUAGAAGAAGGUGCGCCAACUACGUGCCAGUCAGCCGACGGUAAUCGUA